CCUACGGGAGGCAGCAGUGGGGGAUAUUGCACAAUGGGGGGAACCCUGAUGCAGCGACGCCGCGUGGGUGAAGAAGCGCCUCGGCGCGUAAAGCUCUGUCAGCAGGGAAGAAAAUGACGGUACCUGAAGAAGAGGCCCUGGCUAACUACGGCCCAGCAGCCGCGGUAAGACGGAGGGGGCAAGCGUUCUCCGGAUUUACUGGGUGUAAAGGGGGCGGAGACGGCGUUGCAAGCCAGGAGUGAAAGCCCGGGGCUCAACCCCGGGACUGCUCUUGGAACUGCGUGGCUGGAGUGCAGGAGGGGAAGGCGGAAUUCCUGGUGUAGGGGUGAAAUGCGUAGAUAGCAGGAGGAACACCGGUGGCGAAGGCGGCCUGCUGGACUGCAACUGACGUUGAGGCCCGAAAGCGUGGGGAGCAAACAGGAUUAGAUACCCGUGUAGUC
rnacentral:rRNA from 1 species